rfam:Schistosoma margrebowiei strain Zambia genome assembly, scaffold: SMRZ_contig0000039
AUCCAAUUGAAGAGUCCCAAAAUAGGAUGAAACGCGCUUCACACUAGAU